rnacentral:rRNA from 1 species
CACGUAGGGCGCAAGCGUUGUCCGGAAUUAUUGGGCGUAAAGAGCUCGUAGGCGGUCUGUUGCGUCCGCUGUGAAAACUCGGGGCUUAACCCCGAGCCUGCAGUGGAUACGGGCAGACUAGAGGUAGGUAGGGGAGAAUGGAAUUCCCGGUGUAGCGGUGAAAUGCGCAGAUAUCGGGAGGAACACCCGUGGCGAAGGCGGCCCCCUGGGCCGAUAAAAAGUCCUGUCAAGGGAAACCUUGGCUGGUACCUGACGACUGAGGCGGCGAAAGGCCUAAGGGGAGCGAACGGGG